CGGUACGUACUGGCAUUGUUGGUUUCUCCCUUCUGACGAACCAUGAUGUCAUUUAUUUGGUGUUGUGGGGAAUCAGGACUGUUACUUUGAAAAAAUUAGAGUGUUUAAAGCAGGCUCACGCUUGAAUACAUUAGCAUGGAAUAAUGAAAUAGGACGUUUGAUUCUAUUUUGUUGGUUUCUAGGAUCGACGUAAAGAUUAAUAGGGAUAGUUGGGGGCAUUAGUAUUCAAUUGUCAGAGGUGAAAUUCUUGGAUUUAUUGAAGACUAACUACUGCGAAAGCAUUUGCCAAGGAUGUUUUCAUUAAUCAAGAACGAAAGUUAGGGGAUCGAAGACGAUCAGAUACCGUCGUAGUCUUAACCAUAAACUAUGCCGACUAGGGAUCGGAUGAUGUUAAUUUUUUAAUGACUCAUUCGGCGCCUUACG
rnacentral:rRNA from 1 species